rnacentral:rRNA from 1 species
UAUGUAGGGUGCGAGCGUUGUCCGGAAUUACUGGGCGUAAAGAGCUCGUAGGCGGUUUGUCGCGUCUGCCGUGAAAGUCCGGGGCUCAACUCCGGAUCUGCGGUGGGUACGGGCAGACUAGAGUGAUGUAGGGGAGACUGGAAUUCCUGGUGUGGCGGUGAAAUGCGCAGAUAUCAGGAGGAACACCGAUGGCGAAGGCAGGUCUCCUGGGCAUUAACUGACGCUGAGGAGCGAAAGCAUGGGGAGCGAACAG